rnacentral:tRNA from 11 species
UCAGUAGCUGAGUGGUUAACGCGAUGACUUUUCAAGCAAAUGGUACUGGGUUCGAGUACCAGAAUGA